ensembl:lncRNA
UCUUUUUUUUCCUUCUUUUUCCCGAGAUUUUUCACAUGAAACCUGCAGUAGAUCGCUAGAAUUUGCUUUCCCAGCAUGCAUCUGUGGAGGGGGAUCCAGGGUGAAGAGAAAGAAAAUGGUUGAUUGAAAGGCGUGUUUCCUCAGCUUGUGUUGCCUCUCUGCAGCAGACCCUGCCUCCUUUGCAGAGGACUUUCAGUCACAGUGGAAAACAUCCACAGGGAGAAGACGGCGGCUGAUUGGACAAUCCGCCUUUAAAGGCUACCAAUGAGGCUCCAUCCUGGCUGCGUGUUUCCCCCUCCAUCACUGAACGCUCUGUCAGUCUGCGCAUAUCUUCAUGACUGCAGUGCUGCAUGCACACACGCUCCGGGGUCUGCUUGCGUGUGCAGGAUGCCAACAUCUCCAGCCGUGGAGGAGGGAGAGAGGAGAGGAGGAAGAUCCUGAAAACAGACGAGGAGGAAAGAGGAAAGACAGCUCUGGACCGCCGGGGAACGGAUGCUGCGGAGAAAGAGUGAGGGAGGGGCACACGACCAGGAGACCGUCUGAAGGAAGAGGCAGCAUCGCUGAUUUUCACCGACCGAAGGCAGCUCUAUUCGGUUGCCGUGGUGAUGGGCUGCUGGCUCUCUGGACCGUGGACGGGUGACCCCUUGGUGAGUGGGCGGAGUCUUGUUCACCUGAGCCAGCAGGAUGCUUUGCGGAUCAUGGAAACCAGUCAACGUCCAAUCACACUGCAGUUCAAAAGCCAAAGAGGGCGGCGCUCCAAUUCAGGUGGGGGAUCCUGGGAACCCCUGCCCCUCAACCUGCAUCACCUAAAUUUGCCCCUCCCACUGAUGGGACCUGAGCUGAACACGUCCAGCCCCUCCUACCAGGACAGACAUUACUUCAGCCGUCUGCCCCAGGAUCCCUGUGAUGGAGGGCGAUGCAGCUACCUACCCGACUCCCCACAGGACACGGUGGACGUCAACCAUCAGGAUCUUGGACUGAGAACUCGUCGCCCCCAGGGAAUGAACUGUCUGAUGGGGUGUUGCGGGACUGACUCAGAGGAACCUCCCACCUGCCACAGCCAGACAGAUGAUGAAGAUUUCAUGCUGGAGAAGCCUCAUGGUUUCUUGCCCCUCCACCAUGAGCUGGACAGUGGCCUGGGCUGGACGGACGGUUCCCUCCACCAAGGUGACCUCUCAGGCCUGGAGACUGAAGAGGGAGGUCUGGACGACUGCCACCCCCAGGGCCCUCGUGUCCCUGGAGGUUGUGGGGGAUUCGGAGGUGGCGGCUCUCCUUCCUCAGAGUCCUUCAUCUCCUCCGAGCUCAGCGACUCCGGCUUCUACAGCGUGAGCACCGGGGAGUUCAGGCACUUCCAGAGGUUGUUGGAGAGGAGGAUGCGUCUGUACAAUGCCAGGAUGCAACACCAGGGGGAGCCGUGUGAGAGGCGUGAGAGGCGGGACAGUUGUCCCAAGAGUCACCGCGAGUUGCUAGAAGCUAUUCCAGAGACGCUCACCACGCAGCCGCCGUGUCAGCGGCUGCUGCACGAGCUGGACCAGGGAACUCACGCAGCCAUGGAAGGACCGGGACGGGGACUGUUCAGGGUCUCAUCAGUCCAGUUCCACAAAGCUGACCGGCCCUGUCUCAACCGCCACAGCUCCAGCAGUGGAGCCCUCUUCAACCCCUCCCACACCCAACCCUCACGACUAAUUGGCCCGGUCCUCUCCACCUGCAGCAACCCAUUCCAAGCCAGCCUGCAGAAAGCCCAGCUACCAACAGCUCAGCAUUGUGGCUGCUCAGGAGAAGCCAACUUUUGCACCACCGGCCCCUCUCGCUAA